rnacentral:rRNA from 1 species
UUCCGGUUGAUCCUGCCGGACCUGACCGCUAUCGGAUUGAUACUAAGCCAUGCGAGUCUUUGUAGUAAUACAAGGCAGACGGCUCAGUAACGCGUAGUCAACCUACCCUAUGGACGGGGAUAAUCUCGGGAAACUGAGGAUAAUACCCGGCGUACCAUCAUGCCUGGAAUGGUUGGUGGUUAAAAUGAUUCGUCGCCGUAGGAUGGGACUGCGACCUAUCAGCUUGUUGGUGGGGUAAAGGCCCACCAAGGCGAUUACAGGUACGGGCUCUGAGAGGAGAAGCCCGGAGAUGGGUACUGAGACAAGGACCCAGGCCCUAUGGGGCGCAGCAGGCGAGAAAACUUUGCAAUGUGCGAAAGCACGACAAGGUUAAUCCGAGUGAUUUCUGCUAAAGGAAUCUUUUGUUAGUUCUAAAAAUACUAGUGAAUAAGGGGUGGGCAAGUUCUGGUGUCAGCCGCCGCGGUAAAACCAGCACCUCAAGUGGUCAGGAGGAUUAUUGGGCCUGAAGCAUCCGUAGCCUGUUCUAUAAGUUUGCGGCUAAAUCUAUACGCUCAACGUAUAGGCUGCUGUAAAUACUGUAGAACUAGGGAGUGGGAGAGGUAGACGGUACUCGGUAGGAAGGGGUAAAAUCCUUUGAUCUAUCGAUGACCACCUGUGGCGAAGGCGGUCUACCAGAACACGUUCGACGGUGAGGGAUGAAAGCUGGGGGAGCAAACCGGAUUAGAUACCCGGGUAGUCCCAGCUGUAAACGAUGCAGACUCGAUGAUGCAAUGGCAUAGAGCUAUUGCAGUAUCGCACGGAAGCCGUUAAGUCUGCCGCCUGGGAAGUACGUACGCAAGUAUGAAACUUAAAGGAAUUGGUCGGGGGAGCACCACAAGGGGUGAAGCCUGCGGGUUCAAUUGGAGUCAACGCCCGGAA